CCUACGGGAGGCAGCAGUGAGGAAUAUUGGUCAAUGGACGAGAGUCUGAACCAGCCAAGUAGCGUGAAGGAUGACUGCCCUAUGGGUUGUAAACUUCUUUUAUAUGGGAAUAAAAUGUUCCAAGUGUGGGAUUUUGUAUGUACCAUAUGAAUAAGGAUCGGCUAACUCCGUGCCAGCAGCCGCGGUAAUACGGAGGAUCCGAGCGUUAUCCGGAUUUAUUGGGUUUAAAGGGAGCGUAGGUGGAUUGUUAAGUCAGUUGUGAAAGUUUGCGGCUCAACCGUAAAAUUGCAGUUGAAACUGGCAGUCUUGAGUACAGUAGAGGUGGGCGGAAGUCGUGGUGUAGCGGUGAAAUGCUUAGAUAUCACGAAGAACUCCGAUUGCGAAGGCAGUUCACUGGACUGCAACUGACACUGAGGCUCGAAAGUGUGGGUAUCAAACAGGAUUAGAUACCCGAGUAGUC
rnacentral:rRNA from 1 species